UACGAAGGGGGCGAGCGUUGUUCGGAAUUACUGGGCGUAAAGGGCGCGUAGGCGGGCGAUCCUAGUCAGAUGUGAAAGUCCUGGGCUUAACCUGGGGGACUGCAUUUGAUACUGGAUUGCUUGAAUUCGGGAGAGGAUAGCGGAAUUCCCAGUGUAGAGGUGAAAUUCGUAGAUAUUGGGAAGAACACCGGUGGCGAAGGCGGCUAUCUGGACCGACAUUGACGCUGAGGCGGCGAAAAGCGUGGGGAGCAAACAGG
rnacentral:rRNA from 1 species